UUGCACCUGCGAUCUGAACGAUGAAAUUCCAGGGACUUCAAGCGCAGUUUCGAUCUUCGUAACGUUUCAACCAUCGAUAAAUAUGUUCUUUAAUGGCGACAAUAAAAUCUCCCCACUUUGUGCUCUUAUUUAAGUUUCCGUUGAUUCUGAAUCAACCAUAGACACUAUAUAUCUAGAUCGUCCAUAAUCAAAAGCUACAUCUCAUGGUCAUGGCUUCUUCAAAAUCUUAGAUUACUCAAUAUCUCAAAUAUACGUUUCCAAAUUGGAGAUAUCUCAAGUCCUCCCUUUCAGAGUUGCCCGCGAUGGCAACUAUCCAAAUUGACAGUGUGUUUGAUUGCGUCAAAAGUCAGACUCGAUGAAAAAAUUAUUGAUAACGGGUGUGAAGCCAAAAGUCAUCAUUGCAAGUUUGCAACCUACACUAAUCCUAAAUUAGUUGGAGGUUGUCUAUUACCCAGUGUAAUCUCCAGAACACACUCCUACUUUGAUAUGAAAGCCUGGUCAGCCAGAGUUACCUUAACAAGUAAGAGGCUUCAAACUAGAGAUUUUGGAAUAAUUUUCAUCUCCACUACUCACCGCAGGUCUUGUGGAAGUGGCGUAAGUUGCUCCUAAAAUUCUUCCAAAUAUGGAGCUGUGUUUUGAAUGUCACUUGCUCUACUCUAAUCAGUAUGCAACUAUAACACCACAGACCGUGGAGUCCCUCUGCACUCCCAAGUUGGUGGCAUUGAGACUACUAACAGAUGGUGCUACAUAUCAUGUUCUAAUUGCUCACAAAAACUACAAUGCAGAUUCACAUCUGCAGGGUGCCGUUACGAGAAUGCUGUUGGGUUGUUUACCUGAAUUACCAUCACUGUGAAACCUCUCAUGAGGUGGACAGAAGAGGUGCAGAGAACACAACAGGUUGCCUUGAAGCAACAAUUGAUGAAGGAAGCACAAUGGACUCAACACCACUACCUUGUCAAACGGAGACAGUGGUAAGCAUUGACAGCAAAGCAAGUGGUGUCACGCGGAAACAGCGACAAUGCAGCAAGAGUAUUAGCUAAUCAUCAUCAUCAAGUGAAAUAAGGGUUUGGGCAUGC